GAUUAACGCUGGCGGCGUGCAUAACACAUGCAAGUCGAACGAUGAAACUUAACUGAUUUCUUCGGAAUGAUUUUAAGUGGAUUAGUGGCGGACGGGUGAGUAACGCGUGAGUAACCUGCCUUGGAGAAGGGGAUAGCCUUUGGAAACGAAGAAUAAUACCCUAUGAUAUGAUAAUAUCUCAUGAUAUUAUCAUCAAAGAUUUAUCGCUCUAAGAUGGACUUGCGUCUGAUUAGUUAGUUGGUGAGGUAACAGCUCACCAAGGCAGCGAUCAGUAGCCGGCUUGAGAGAGUGUACGGCCACAUUGGGACUGAGACACGGCCCAGACUCCUACGGGAGGCAGCAGUGGGGAAUUUUGCACAAUGGGGGAAACCCUGAUGCAGCGACGCCGCGUGAUUUAGAAGGCCUUCGGGUUGUAAAAAUCUUUUGUAUGGGAAGAAAAUGACAGUACUAUACGAAUAAGGACCGGCUAAUUACGUG
rnacentral:rRNA from 1 species